rfam:Phaseolus vulgaris cultivar G19833 chromosome 3, whole genome shotgun sequence.
UUGGCAUGAUGAUGAUAAUUUUAAAUACUUUCAUACGAUUAUUUAUAUGAUGAAAGCAAUCCUCCUACUCAUUCUGA